rnacentral:rRNA from 1 species
AUUGAACGCUGGCGGCAUGCCUUACACAUGCAAGUCGAACGGCAGCACGGGAGCUUGCUCCUGGUGGCGAGUGGCGAACGGGUGAGUAAAGUAUCGGAACAUGCCCUGAAGUGGGGGAUAACGUAGCGAAAGUUACGCUAAUACCGCAUAUUCUGUGAGCAGGAAAGCAGGGGAUCGCAAGACCUUGCGCUUUAGGAGUGGCCGAUAUCGGAUUAGCUAGUUGGUGAGGUAACGGCUCACCAAGGCGACGAUCCGUAGCGGGUCUGAGAGGGUGAUCAGCCACACUGGGGCGGGGACACGGCCCGGACUCCUACGGGAGGCAGCAGUGGGGAAUAUUGGACAAUGGGCGAAAGCCUGAUCCAGCCAUGCCGCGUGUGUGAAGAAGGUCUUCGGAUUGUAAAGCACUUUAAGUCGGGAGGAAGGGCUGUAGGCUAAUACCUUGCAGUUUUGACGUUACCGACAGAAUAAGCACCGGCUAACUUCGUGCCAGCCGCCGCCGUAA